rnacentral:lncRNA from 1 species
AGGCUUCUUUCCCUUACUGAUAUGGACAGAUAGAUGACUUAAAAUGAGAAAUGGAUACUGGCUCCGUCAAUGUUUAUAGCAGCACAAUUCCCAUUAGCUAAUUCCCAAUAGCACAAUUCCCAACUGAUGCCCUUCAAAAGAUGAAUGGAUAAAAAAAAAAUGUGGCAUAUAUACACAAUGGAAUAUUACACAGCAAUAAAAGAGAAUAAAAUCAUGGCAUUUGCAGGUAAAUGAAUGGAGUUAGAGAAGAUAAUGCUAAGUGAAGUUAGCCAAUCCCCCAAAAUUAAAACCUGAAUGUUUUCUUUGACAUAAGGAGGCGGAUCCCUAGUGGGAUAGGGAACGGGAGCAUGGGAGGAAUAGACAAACUCUAGAUAGGGCAGAGGAG